rnacentral:rRNA from 1 species
CAGGAUGAACGCUAGCGACAGGCCUAACACAUGCAAGUCGAGGGGCAGCACAAGGAGCAAUCUGAGGUGGCGACCGGCGCACGGGUGAGUAACACGUAUGCAACCUGCCUGUAAGCGGGGAAUAACCCGUUGAAAGACGGACUAAUACCGCAUAAUACUAAAUUACUGCAUGGUAAUUUAUUUGAACAUUUAUGGCUUACAGAUGGGCAUGCGCAUGAUUAGCUAGUUGGAGAGGUAACGGCUCCCCAAGGCAACGAUCAUUAGGGGUUCUGAGAGGAAGGUCCCCCACACUGGUACUGAGACACGGACCAGACUCCUACGGGAGGCAGCAGUGAGGAAUAUUGGUCAAUGGACGAGAGUCUGAACCAGCCAAGUCGCGUGCAGGAAGAAUGUCCCUAUGGAUUGUAAACUGCUUUUGCAGGGGAAUAAAGUGCAUCACGUGUGAUGUUUUGUAUGUACUCUGCGAAUAAGGAUCGGCUAACUCCGUGCCAGCCGCCGC